GUACAUUCAGCAGGGCCCACUGGGAUGGGCUGUAUGAGCAAGUUUUCAAUCAUCAACUCUGUAGCUGAUUUGCUUUCACGGUAAGGACCACGUGGAAAUGCUUCCUUUUCCUGUGCUGUUUGAAAUUCAGCCUCUCCAGGAGGAAAGAGCAUUUCACCUGAUGCCAUGGUGAUGUCAGAUGAUUGACAGGUGGGUCAAAGUGGCUCUUGUCGGCUUGAGGAAAGCAGAAUCCUGCCCACUGGCCUGGUCCACUUCCCCACCCCUGGUGUAUAGGCAUAUACAGCCAGAGCCAGCCCUAUCAUUACGCAGAGUGAAUUGGCUGCCUGAGGCAUAUGUGACGUCAGGUGUGAGGCAGGUACAGAUGGGGGUCCAAAGGAAUGUUUGGGAGCUUGAAAAUGGCUACUACUUGUCCCUUGUCUAGUGAGGUUUACUGCCAGCGCUGGUCAGCUGAUCUGUGAUGACAGCAAGGAUCGUAAAGGAAAACCAUUCUCAGGGACAAGGAAAUACUUUGCCUGACGUCAUGGUGAUGUUGUAUGAUUGGCAAGUGGGUGCCCACACCUACCUGUCAAAGUGUUCCUUGGGGGUUGGGGAAACAUCUGGAUCUGGCCUCCUGGCUAAAUCCAAUCCCUGAUCUCUGUUGCCUGAGAUGGAACAGGCAAUGGUACCCGCACCAAGGUCACAUUAUACUCAGGUUGUAAAGUAACUUGGCCAGGCUCAGUAUAAUGAGGGAAAGUCAUAGCCUUGAAGGUGAACAAAAGCAUGUUUGGAGCCUCACACAUGGUGUUCUAUCAACACAUGGUUUCCAUAGAUUCCCUCAUAGUAGCUCUUCCCACUGAACUAAUCUGGACUCACCUCUCUCUUUGGAGGCAGACAGAUAAUGUAUGAAUUGGAACACUCCAUAUUAGAGUAAAACCUCUUUCUGAUUGGGAGUUGCUACCCUUCUUCAAAUAACCAUCACUUCUCAUUCUCCCCACAUUCACAAAAGGGAUAUGUGGACUUGAAGACAACAACUACAACAACAACACUCAAGAAACACUGCCCACAGGGUGCAGAAGAACAUGUGAGUUUAUUGGCAAGAGCGUGAGAA